rnacentral:rRNA from 1 species
GGGCGUAAAGCGAGCNCAGGCGGUUAGAUAAGUCUGAAGUUAAAGGCUGUGGCUUANCCAUAGUACGCUUUGGAAACUGUUUAACUNGAGUGCAGAAGGGGAGAGUGGAAUNCCAUGUGUAGCGGUGAAAUGCGUAGAUAUAUGGAGGAACACCGGUGGCGAAAGCGGCUCUCUGGUCUGUAACUGACGCUGAGGCUCGAAAGCGUGGGGAGCGAACAGGAUUAGAUACCCUGGUAGUCCACGCCGUAAACGAUGAGUGCUAGGUGUUAGGCCCUUUCCGGGGCUUAGUGCCGCAGCUAACGCAUUAAGCACUCCGCCUGGGGAGUACGACCGCAAGGUUGAAACUCAAAGGAAUUGACGGGGGCCCGCACAAGCGGUGGAGCAUGUGGUUUAAUUCGAAGCAACGCGAAGAACCUUACCAGGUCUUGACAUCCCGAUGCCCGCUCUAGAGAUAGAGUUUUACUUCGGUACAUCGGUGACAGGUGGUGCAUGGUUGUCGUCAGCUCGUGUCGUGAGAUGUUGGGUUAAGUCCCGCAACGAGCGCAACCCUUAUUGUUAGUUGCCAUCAUUCAGUUGGGCACUCUAGCGAGACUGCCGGUAAUAAACCGGAGGAAGGUGGGGAUGACGUCAAAUCAUCAUGCCCCUUAUGACCUGGGCUACACACGUGCUACAAUGGCUGGUACAACGAGUCGCAAGUCGGUGACGGCAAGCUAAUCUCUUAAAGCCAGUCUCAGUUCGGAUUGUAGGCUGCAACUCGCCUACAUGAAGUCGGAAUCGCUAGUAAUCGCGGAUCAGCACGCCGCGGUGAAUACGUUCCCGGGCCUUGUACGCACCGCCCGUCACACCACGAGAGUUUGUAACACCCGAAGUCGGUGAG